GCAAGAUGUCCUGCUCAAAAUAAAACAACUUUUUUUCCUUCAUAAAACUAUUUCUUUAACACCCUUUGCCGCCACAAUCUCUUUGCCGCCUUCUAAGUUGGCUCAUCUACCGUUAAAUAUUUAUUUUCAAAUUAAUCUCAGCCGUUGGAUCAUUCCAAAUCCACUAUAAAUUACGAUUUGAUUUCGCUUUUUAUAACCUCUGCUACUUUCAUAUCCAAAUCUGCGGAGAUGGUUAUUAUGGAUGACGGUAAAGUAGUUGAGGUGUGCGCACUUAUGAUAAUAAAAAAGGGGAGUAAUUGCUUUAGCAACCAUCGCGAUGUUGACUUUAAGCAUGGAGGCAUUCCAGAAACAUACCGUCUGCAUGACUAAUAAGAGCUGCGAGGGCUAAUGAAUUGGUCUCCAAUUGUUAUUAAAUCAAACGGAUUGGAUCGUUGAUCUUUUGAUGCUGUUGCAGUUUCAGCUGUGAAGGGUGACAGUACAGUGAGCCUACUGGUGCAUCUAAGGUUAUAUAUAACUGUUUAAUUUAAUGUCUGUAUAUUUGAAUGAAUGAUUAAUGUACAUUUUAUUUUAUUUUAAAAAGAAUUAUGCAUGCAUAUGUAUGAGGUAAUAGAGGAAAAA